rnacentral:rRNA from 1 species
CUACGGGAGGCAGCAGGCGCGAAACCUUUACAAUGCACGAAAGUGCGAUAAGGGGAUCCCAAGUGCUUAUACUUUGUAUAGGCUUUUGCCAAGUGUAAAUAACUUGGCGAAUAAGUGGUGGGCGAAGACUGGUGCCAGCCGCCGCGGUAAUCCCAGCGCCACGAGUAGCAACCAUAUUUAUUGGGCCUAAAGCGUCCGUAGCAGGUUUUGUAAAUCUCCUGUGAAAUCGUUGUGCUCAACAUAACGACGUGCAAGAGACACUGCAAGACUAGAGACCGGGAGGCGUCGAGGGUAUUCCAGGGGGAGCGGUAAAAUGUUAUAAUCCCUGGAGGACCACCUGUGGCGAAGGCGCUCGACGAGAACGGAUCUGACUGUGAGGGACGAAAGCCAGGGGAGCAAUCCGGAUUAGAUACCCGCGUAGUC